UUUGUACUCCCUCCGUCCGAAAAUACUUGUCAGAAAAAUGGAUAAAAAUGGAUGUAUCUUAAACUAAAAUACGUCUAGAUACAUCCAUUCCUUCGACAAGUAUUUCCGGACGGAGGGAGUAGAUU
rfam:Triticum aestivum genome assembly, contig: Triticum_aestivum_CS42_TGACv1_scaffold_148037_2BS